rnacentral:rRNA from 1 species
CUGGCGGCACGGCCUAACACAUGCAAGUCGAACGCAGUAGCAAUACUGAGUGGCAGACGGGUGAGUAACAUGUGGGAAUCUGCCUUGUGGUUCAGGACAACAUUGGGAAACCGAUGCUAAUACUGGAUAAGCCCUUACGGGGAAAGUUUUAAUGCCAUAAGAUGAGCCCGCAUUUGAUUAGUUAGUUGGUGAGGUAAUGGCUCACCAAGACAAUGAUCAAUAGCGUGAUCUGAGAGGAUGAUCAGCCACACUGGGACUGAGACACGGCCCAGACUCCUACGGGAGGCAGCAGUGGGGAAUCUUGCACAAUGGAGGAAACUCUGAUGCAGCGAUGCCGCGUGAGUGAAGAAGGCCUUUGGGUUGUAAAGCUCUUUUGUAGGGGAAGAUAAUGACGU